rnacentral:rRNA from 1 species
UACGGGAGGCAGCAGUGGGGAAUAUUGCACAAUGGGCGCAAGCCUGAUGCAGCCAUGCCGCGUGUAUGAAGAAGGCCUUCGGGUUGUAAAGUACUUUCAGUCGUGAGGAAGGUGUUAAGGUUAAUAACCUUAGCAAUUGACGUUAGCGACAGAAGAAGCACCGGCUAACUCCGUGCCAGCAGCCGCGGUAAUACGGAGGGUGCGAGCGUUAAUCGGAAUUACUGGGCGUAAAGGGCACGCAGGCGGUUAAUUAAGUUGGAUGUGAAAUCCCCGGGCUUAACCUGGGAAUGGCAUUCAAGCUGGUUAGCUAGAGUCUUGUAGAGGGGGUUAGAAUUCCAUGUGUAGCGGUGAAAUGCGUAGAGAUGUGGAGGAAUACCGGUGGCGAAGGCGGCCCCUGGGACAAAGACUGACGCUCAUGUGCGAAAGCGUGGGGAGCAAAC